UGUUGUGGAAGCAGAGCAGGACCCGACACCUCCAAGGAGGAUUUGGAGCAGGAGCUGCCUCUGCUCGCAGGACCCUGUGCCCAAGGGAGUGCUGGAGCGUUUGCACCCUGGUUUGGGACAUUUUGGGGCAGAAUUUAGGGAUUUAGGGAGCCUUGCUUGGCAGGCACCCGGCCAAGGGCCCCUCCUCUCACCAGGAUGGUGGUGGGAGCAGCAGGAAGACGAGGGGACACGGGAGCAGGUGGAGAAGGCUCAGGGUGGGACAUCUCCCAGCUGUCAACCCCCCCCCAGGUGCCCCAUUCCCAGGAAAAACCCAGCUUGGAACCCCCAAAAGUUGGGAAGAAAAGCUGACUCAAAGCAACGGUGUGUUAAACCAACAGGAAUCGCUCCAAUCCAUCAUUUUUUGCUGGAUUUCACCCUGCUGGCACCAGAGGGGACGUCCCCCCCUCUGCCACACGCUGCUCCUGAUGCUUUUUUUUGGGGGGGGGAGCAGCUGGGAUUUGGAACCACAAAAAAAAAAUCCCUGGUGGGGUCUUGGGGUGAGCUGGGGCACCGUGGUGUGGCCAAAAGGGUGGAUUCUGCUUCCGUGUCUUCCUCGGGGCUCCUCCGGCUCCGCCGGUGCCAUCCCACGUCACUGCUCGGCCCUGGAAAUGUGGUUCCAAUAGGUUUUUCCCUAAUGCUUUCCAUUUCUCCAGCCCUCUCUGCUGUAAUAGGAGCUGGAGCUGUCCAGAAGAAUGCCUACAGUGCAGAAAGGGGGGGGAAAAAAAAAAAAGAUGGAAAAUUCCCUGCUCAAAGCUGGAGCAGGAUCUCAUCCGGCUCCUUCCUCCUCCUCCCACGUGUUAGUUCAUAUUAAUAUUCAUAUUAAUAAUAAUAAUAAUAACAACCCGUGAGCAACAUCUGUCAGGGAGGAUUUGGGGGGUGGCUUUUGCCUCUCUGGAGCUGCAGCUUUGCCGUUCCCAGCCCGGGAGAGGAGGGGUUGGGAAAAGGGGAGCUUUGGAAACACGAGGAGAUGUUUAAAAUCGUGUGACAGAGGCGAGGAUGAGUGGGGGGUUCUCCCAGCUCCAGGAUCCCGCUGGGGAGGAGUUGUUUCCCCAGUUUAUCCAGGGGAAUUGUGUUUUGGUGGUGUUUAAAGCCGUGGUUUUCUUCCCGUUGGGAAGAGGGAGUGGGGUUGGGAAGAGGGAAUGGGGUUGGGAAGAGGGAAUGGGG
rnacentral:lncRNA from 1 species